rnacentral:rRNA from 1 species
CCUACGGGGGGCAGCAGUGGGGAAUAUUGCACAAUGGGGGAAACCCUGAUGCAGCAACGCCGCGUGAGUGAAGAAGUAUUUCGGUAUGUAAAGCUCUAUCAGCAGGGAAGAAGAAAGACGGUACCUGACUAAGAAGCCUCGGCUAACUACGUGCCAGCAGCCGCGGUAAUACGUAGGGGGCAAGCGUUAUCCGGAUUUACUGGGUGUAAAGGGCGUGUAGCCGGGUUGACAAGUCAGAUGUGAAAUCCUGCGGCUUAACUGCAGAACUGCAUUUGAAACUGUUGAUCUUGAGUACUGGAGAGGCA